rnacentral:rRNA from 1 species
CACGGGUGAGUAACACGUAUCCAACCUGCCGUCUACUCUUGGACAGCCUCCCUGAAAGGAAGAUUAAUACAAGAUGGCAUCAUGAGUCCGCAUGUUCACAUGAUUAAAGGUAUUCCGGUAGACGAUGGGGAUGCGUUCCAUUAGAUAGUAGGCGGGGUAACGGCCCACCUAGUCUUCGAUGGAUAGGGGUUCUGAGAGGAAGGUCCCCCACAUUGGAACUGAGACACGGUCCAA